UGCCACACGAAGAACCUUACCUGGGUUUGACAUAUAGGUUGUAGGGAACGUGAAAAGGGACCGACCCUUCGGGGAGCCUAUACAGGUGUUGCAUGGCUGUCGUCAGCUCGUGUCGUGAGAUGUUCGGUUAAGUCCGCUAACGAGCGCAACCCUCGUCGUAUGUUAUAUGUGUCAUACGAGACUGCCGGUAAAAGCCGGAGGAAGGUGAGGAUGAUGUCAAGUCAGCAUGACCUUUAUAUCCAGGGCUACACACACGCUACAAUGGUCUGUACAAUGGGUAGCCAAGCCGCGAGGCGGAGCCAAUCCUGAAAGCAGGCCUCAGUUCAGAUUGCAGUCUGCAACUCGACUGCAUGAAGCCGGAGUUGCUAGUAACCGCAGGUCAGCAAUACUGCGGUGAAUACGUUCCCGGGUCUU
rnacentral:rRNA from 1 species